UACAGAGGGUGCAAGCGUUAAUCGGAAUUACUGGGCGUAAAGCGCACGUAGGUGGCUUGAUAAGUUGGGUGUGAAAUCCCCGAGCUUAACUUGGGAAUUGCAUUCAAGACUGUCUUGCUAGAGUGUGGAAGAGGGAAGCGGAAUUCCAGGUGUAGCGGUGAAAUGCGUAGAUAUCUGGAGGAACAUCAGUGGCGAAGGCGGCUUCCUGGUCCAACACUGACACUGAGGUGCGAAAGCGUGGGGAGCAAACAGGG
rnacentral:rRNA from 1 species